GAAAACUUGGAUUAAUGCCCCGUAGUACCGUAUUUCGGCCUCGUUAUACGGUUAAAGCCUUCGGGCGGUACAAGAUGGCCAUGCGUCCCAUUAGCUGGAUGGUAAGGUAACGGCUUACCAUGGCUACGAUGGGUAGGGGCCCUGARAGGGGGAUCCCCCACACUGGUACUGAGACACGGACCAGACUCCUACGGGAGGCAGCAGUGAGGAAUAUUGGACAAUGGAGGAGACUCUGAUCCAGCUAUGCCGCGUGCAGGAAGAAUGCCCUAUGGGUAGUAAACUGCUUUUAUACGGGAAGAAAAAGAGCUACGUGUAGCUUACUGACGGUACCGUAAGAAUAAGGACCGGCUAACUCCGUGCCAGCAGCCGCGGUAAUACGGAGGGUCCGAGCGUUAUCCGGAAUUAUUGGGUUUAAAGGGUCCGUAGGCGGGCCGAUAAGUCAGGGGUGAAAGUCUGCCGCUCAACGGUAGAACUGCCUUUGAUACUGUCGGUCUUGAGUUAUAGUGAAGUUGCCGGAAUAUGUAGUGUAGCGGUGAAAUGCAUAGAUAUUACAUAGAACACCGAUUGCGAAGGCAGGUGACUAACUAUAUACUGACGCUGAUGGACGAAAGCGUGGGGAGCGAACAGGAUUAGAUACCCUGGUAGUCCACGCCGUAAACGAUGGAUACUAGCUGUCCGGAACCUUGAGUUCUGGGCGGCCAAGCGAAAGUGAUAAGUAUCCCC
rnacentral:rRNA from 1 species